rnacentral:rRNA from 1 species
AGUGAACGCUGGCGGUAGGCCUAAUACAUGCAAGUCGAACGGCAGCACAGUAAGAGCUUGCUCUUACGGGUGGCGGGUGGCGGACGGGUGAGGAAUACAUCGGAAUCUACUUUUUCGUGGGGGAUAACGUAGGGAAACUUACGCUACUACCGCAUACGACGUACGGGUGAAAGCAGGGGAUCUUCGGACCUUGCGCGAUUGAAUGAGCCGAUGUCGGAUUAGCUAGUUGGCGGGGUAAAGGCCCACCAAGGCGACGAUCCGUAGCUGGUCUGAGAGGAUGAUCAGCCACACUGGAACUGAGACACGGUCCAGACUCCUACGGGAGGCAGCAGUGGGGAAUAUUGGACAAUGGGCGCAAGCCUGAUCCAGCCAUACCGCGUGAGUGAAGAAGGCCUUCGGGUUGUAAAGCCCUUUUGUUGGGAAAGAAAAGCAGCAGGUUAAUACCCCGCUGUUCUGACGGUACCCAAAGAAUAAGCACCGGCUAACUUCGUG